GUUCAUGCGGUCAGGGUUCUACCUGGCCUGGUUGUUCAUGCGGUCAGGGUUCUGCCUGGCCUGGUUGUUCAUGCGGUCAGGGUUCUGCCUGGCCUGGUUGUUCAUGCGGUCAGGGUUCUGCCUGGCCUGGUUGUUCAUGCGGUCAGGGUUCUGCCUGGCCUGGUUCUUCAUGCGGUCAGGGUUCUGCCUGGCCUGGUUCUUCAUGUGGUCAGGGUUCUGCCUGGCCUGGUUGUUCAUGCAGUCUGGGUUCUACCUGGCCUGGUUCAUGUGGUCAGGGUUCUACCUGGCCUGGUUCAUGUGGUCAGGGUUCUGCCUGGCCUGGUUCAUGUGGUCAGGGUUCUGCCUGGUUCGGUUGUUCAUGUGGUCGGGGUUCUACCUGGCCUGGGGUUCUUCAUCCGGGCGUGAUCAGGGUGACGAGGCAUACCAUGUGUGAGCGUGAUGACAUGGGGAUACGCACUUAUUAUACAUCACAACAUUUUAGGAAAUGGUCCUUCAAGCUUGAAAGCCUGCGACGUGGCUGCCCUUUCUAGCCCCGACAUGAUAGUUGGCUGGCAGGCCCUGUGGAUUGUAUCUUCUGGACUCCUGUGCUGGGAUGCAAUUUUUUCUUGGGCUGAAUUGCAAUGCAUUUGUUGAUGCUAGCUGGACCUGGGAGUUGGGUCCCCCUUUGAAUCAGAAACCAUCUCGGUAACAUCCCAACUAGGGUUCUCUUCAUGCUGUAACCAAGCUCUUCUUCAGCUGAGGAGGAAAAUAAAUCCUUGCUGGGGCUUCAAGAUCUAUGAAGAGGAAUAUUGAAAUGUGUGCAAUGGUUCCCUCCCGUAGGCGCUGUGGUGUAUUCUAGUCGCUGAGAAAGAGCCCUCACAUCCUACCCAUGGCGUCUCUCCUUGGGGAGUCCCUGUCACAGUCUUGACGGAUGUUCCAGGUCAUGUAACUGAUGCAACAGCCCUUUUGAACACUGUUUCUCCGGAGGGGGGCACGUCUACAGAACGGUAGACUUCAGACAGCACAGUAUCCUAACAUGCAUCUCUGGCCACUCAGACCACACCCGGAUCAAUAUGACAAUGCUCAUGCGAUGUGAAGCGAGGAAGUAGCCAAAAGACAGAUUGGUUAGCUUUUUUUUGUACGCUGGCAAGCAUUGUUAAUUGGUAGAUAAUUAGUUAAAUGGGGUAACUGAAAUGUUUAGUCAAAAUGUUUUGUACAUAAACCAACAGCAACAAACUACCAGAUCGCCUCAAGGUAAGUCUGUUGGCUGUAUUUUGCAAUGAGACGACCACAAGAUCUUCAUCGUCGUUCAGCUCAAGGUGAGGUGCUGGUUACGUUACUUAGGGAUGGUUCGUACUGGAACGUUACGAUUCCAGUAUGACGGGGCUUGGGGUUUCUGUAGAGGUUGGUAGUUAGUUUAGUGCAGUCUGUGAAGCUCUAAUGCUGCAGUACUGUGUGGUGGAGGAUAACUGGCAGUACGAACAGGAUUGGCAAUUGCGUUACGUCAUCCACACCUUAUUAUGGCGUCUGGCAGUACGAUCAAUAUUGGCAUUUGCGUAAACCUCAUAACUAAUGAGCGUACCCAAUUAAGGUAAUCUGGCAAUGCCCCAUUUCUAUAGGUAACCAUCUGCGAUUAUUGGUAAAUCCUUAUGCACUAGAAAUUAGGAAGGGCACUCUUAAAAUAUAUAUAUUUUUAAUUAUCCCACAAAAUACCGCAAACUACUUUGAUAACUGUGCUCUACAAUCAACUCUCGAUUUUCUGCGCAUACAUUUAUCGGGUCGCGUAAAAGAUUGAGACGACGGCAUUUACCUACUACGGCUUUUUAUUUCUUCAACAACCCAGCAGCUGAAUGUGGCUAAGUAUCAUUUUACUAUCUAAAUUACUAUUGAUAUUGCUAGUGUUCUAAAUAUCUGGGCUGUGAUCUGCUCAAUAUAGUUUCUGCUAGACUUCAGAAACAAAAGGAAGGGUUAAAUGUAAGUGUGCUUAUUCACGUAUUAUCAAAUGGUAUAGCUGUUUAGAAAAGUAAAGUUAAUUGUUGCGCAAAUGCUACCAUAAACCUUUGACUUUUGAAUAAAUCAAACUAAGCACAAGGCAACUAAGAUACGUGGUGACCAAGAACUCUUGUAUUGAUGUUCAGUUUAUUAUUGGUGAGGCAGUGAUGUAAAGCGCGUCGUGGUGUUUUUAAAUGGAUGAAUGUUGUGCUAACAGACGGGGGAAACUCCAGGCAUUGCAGUCCUGAUCCUGUAUGAUGCAGAAGAUGUCCAUCCAACCGCACAUUGAUCUCUGCAGCGUGGUCGGUGGGAGGAGAUGUGGCCGAGCUGUUGAACCAGGCUCUAUCGGUGUCAGGACGCGUUGGUGGAGGAGGGGGACUGAUGGAGGAGAGCCGACGGAGCCAUGGUGGACGAGAGCCGACGGAGCCAUGGUGGACGAGAGCCAAGGGAGCCAUGGUGGACGAGAGCCGACGGAGCCAUGGUGGACGAGAGCCGACGGAGCCAUGGUGGACGAGAGCCGACGGAGCCAUGGUGGACGAGAGCUGACGGAGCCAUGGUGGCCGUGAGCCGACGGAGCCGUGGUGGGCGAGAGCCGACGGAGGAGCCGUGGUGGGCGAGAGCCGACGGAGGAGCCGUGGUGGGCGAGAGCCGACGGAGGAGCCGUGGUGGACGAGAGCCGACGGAGGAGCCGUGGUGGACGAGAGCCGACGGAGGAGCCGUGGUGGACGAGAGCCGACGGAGGAGCCGUGGUGGACGAGAGCCGACGGAGGAGCCGUGGUGGACGAGAGCCGACGGAGGAGCCGUGGUGGAGGCCCUGCCUUAAGAAUGAUGUCGGGACCCAAUGCCCUUGGCUGAUGGAGGAACUGCAUCUGGAGGGCGACCAUGAAUCUACCUGCCAACAGGUGGUACUGGUUUGCACUGGUUUGCAUGAACUGAACAUGGUGGACAUGAGGCAAAUUCCCUGCGUUUUGCUCCAGACCAGGACUGGGUGAUGGAGGGGGGCUGAUAGAGCCGUGCUGAGGACCUGCUGGUGAAGGACGUCCCUCGGUGGGGGGGCUAGGACAGCCGACCCUGAGGAUCCGCUCGGAUCUACGAUCGCUACGAUGCGACUGCAGAGGUCUCUGGAAGACCAGGAGUCCUUGCCUGAGGAGAGCUGACGGAGGAGCCGUGCACCUGGAGAACCAUGAGUCUGCCUGCCAACAAGUAGUACUGGAAGGCGGGGCAUAGGGAGGUGUUGGAGGACCUGCCUGGUGAAGGACGUCAGGGUGGGGCGAGUGACACCCGACUCCAAGGGGAUAUCCACUGAGGAGAGAGCUGAAGGAGCCAUGCAUCUGGAAGUUGAAAUGCUGUGUCCAGUCUGGGACAGACGGACCUGAGCUGCAUCAAACCUGUAUCUCUGACCAGUUGGAGGCCUUUAGUGAUCAACAACCGCCACUCAUCGCUGGCCUGUGGAUUCAUCUCCUUCACACUCACACAUCAGGACUUUGGCCUGUGGAUUCAUCUCCUCCACACUCACACAACAGGACUUUGACCUGUGGAUUCAUCUCCUCCACACUCACACAACAGGACUUUGGCCUGUGGAUUCAUCUCCUCCACACUCACACAACGUGACCUUCUCACCAUCUGUUGCACGUUUGGAUGCACCUAGCGUGUUCCAUCGAGGGUUCCUUCCUCCCCACGGUGGGAGGGUUCCUUGUCCUUCAAGGCGUCGGGGUUCAGUGUUAGGGACAGAGUUAGGGACAGAUGGCUGCGCUGGAUUCACAAUAUACGCUUUGUGAUCAAAAUGGGUUCGGACAUCGGACAAAUCGCUUCCCAAAAUGUUUCAAUGUGCAAACGAUUUUAUAAAAUGUGUACUCGUGGUGUUUAUAUAAAAUCAUAUAUAACAAAUUCUACCUGGUUGUGUGGCUUUUUCUGCAUGUUGUGCAUUAUGUGAUGUUUAAUACUGACCAUAAUGAGUUAACCUAUACACAUCUACCCUCGACCUCUACCCUCACCUUGAACCCCCCUCUACCCUC
ensembl:lncRNA